GGUGAUUCAUAAUAACUUAACGAAUCGCAUGGCCUUGCGCCGGCGAUGGUUCAUUCAAAUUUCUGCCCUAUCAACUUUCGAUUGUAAGAUAGUGGCUUACAAUGGUUUUAACGGGUAACGGGGAAUUAGGGUUCUAUUCCGGAGAGGGAGCCUGAGAAACGGCUACCACAUCCAAGGAAGGCAGCAGGCGCGCAAAUUACCCAAUCCCAAUACGGGGAGGUAGUGACAAUAAAUACUGAUACAGGGCUCUUUCGGGUCUUGUAAUUGGAAUGAGUACAAUCUAAAUCCCUUAACGAGGAACAAUUGGAGGGCAAGUCUGGUGCCAGCAGCCGCGGUAAUUCCAGCUCCAAUAGCGUAUAUUAAAGUUGUUGCAGUUAAAAAGCUCGUAGUUGAACCUUGGGCCUGACCGAUCUGUCCUCCUAAUCGAGCGCACGGAUUCGGUUGGGUCUUUCCUUCUGGGGAUCCCUAUGCCCUUCACUGGGCGUAGUGGGGAACCAGGACUUUUACCUUGAAAAAAUUAGAGUGUUCAAAGCAGGCAUUUGCUCGAAUACAUUAGCAUGGAAUAAUAGAAUAGGACAUCGGUUCUAUUUUGUUGGUUUCUAGGACCGCUGUAAUGAUUAAUAGGGAUAGUCGGGGGCGUCAGUAUUCAAUUGUCAGAGGUGAAAUUCUUGGAUUUAUUGAAGACUAACUAUUGCGAAAGCAUUCGCCAAGGAUGUUUCCAUUAAUCAGUGAACGAAAGUUAGGGGAUCGAAGACGAUCAGAUACCGUCGUAGUCUUAACCAUAAACUAUGCCGACUAGGGAUCGGACGGUGGUUUUUUAUGCCCCGUUCGGCACCUUACGAGAAAUCAAAGUUUUUGGGCUCUGGGGGGAGUAUGGUCGCAAGGCU
rnacentral:rRNA from 1 species